rnacentral:rRNA from 1 species
AGUGAACGCUGGCGGUAGGCCUAACACAUGCAAGUCGAACGGAAGCACAGUAAGAGCUUGCUCUUACGGGUGGCGAGUGGCGGACGGGAGAGGAGUACAACGGAAUCUACUUUUUCGUGGGGGUUAACGUAGGGAAACUUACGCUAAUACCGCAUACGCCCUACGGGUGAAAGCAGGGGAUCUUCUGACCUUGCGCGAUUGAAUGAGCCGAUGUCGGAUUAGCUAGUUGGCGGGGUAAAGGCCCACCAAGGCGACGAUCCGUAGCUGGUCUGAGAGGAGGAUCGGCCACACUGGAACUGAGACACGGUCCAGACUCCUACGGGAGGCAGCAGUGGGGAAUAGUGGACAAUGGGCGCAAGCCUGAUCCAGCCAUACCGCGUGGGUGAAGAAGGCCUUCGGGUUGUAAAGCCCUUUUGUUGGGAAAGAAAAGCAGCAGGUUAAUACCCCGCUGUUCUGACGGUACCCAAAGAAUAAGCACCGGCUAACUUCGUG